GACGAACGCUGGCGGCGUGCCUAAUACAUGCAAGUUGAGCGAUGAAGAUUGGUGCUUGCACCAAUUUGAAGAGCAGCGAACGGGUGAGUAACGCGUGGGGAAUCUGCCUUUGAGCGGGGGACAACAUUUGGAAACGAAUGCUAAUACCGCAUAAUAACUUUAAACAUAAGUUUUAAGUUUGAAAGAUGCAAUUGCAUCACUCAAAGAUGAUCCCGCUUUGUAUUAGCUAGUUGGUGAGGUAAAGGCUCACCAAGGCGAUGAUACAUAGCCGACCUGAGAGGGUGAUCGGCCACAUUGGGACUGAGACACGGCCCAAACUCCUACGGGAGGCAGCAGUAGGGAAUCUUCGGCAAUGGACGAAAGUCUGACCGAGCAACGCCGCGUGAGUGAAGAAGGUUUUCGGAUCGUAAAACUCUGUUGGUAGAGAAGAACGUUGGUGAGAGUGGAAAGCUCAUCAAGUGACGGUAACUACCCAGAAAGGGACGGCUAACUACGUG
rnacentral:rRNA from 1 species